rnacentral:piRNA from 1 species
UGCUUCUGGGUCGGGGUUUCGUA